GUAACUUUUCCUGUAUAACUGGAGCUUUCCAAUUACUCAGUCUGUGAGGUGAUACUAUUUACUGUCCCUAGACUGAUUAUCACUUUUCUCCAUCAGUGAUUGUUGGUGUGUAGAGAACAUCAUUUAUUAACAUCUGUUUUCUUUCUGAAAUACAUCACUCAACUUCGCAAUUUACCCCAAUGCUUUACUUUUCACCAUAUCUCUU